GCACUGUUGAAGAGUCCCACGGUGGGACGAAACGGCCGUCGAGUGC
rnacentral:hammerhead_ribozyme from 1 species